GCUAAACCCUCCACAGUCCAUCUUAUGGGUCCCAGCAUUGACCAGGGAAAGCCUAAAGCCCUGAAUCUCUGAACCGGAAGGCGGAAAAGGCUUCUGAGCUCUGGGAAGAACGUCACACACCCGUCACCGAGGCUGCGCCCUGCCUCUUCAGGUGCCUAGCAAGGCUCUUCGUGGCUACCUCGCGGAUCAUUCAUGGCUCCUUGAGAUCAGGAAGGUAUGACAAUGAAAGACAAGGUUUUACUUUUGGAAGACAUUUCGGUUCUACUGGAUCAACCCAAUAUACACUGAAAAAUGUCAAGUCACGAGACCGAGCCUGACUUAAUCUUUCUUGUAAAUACAUAUAUAAAUGCUGAGAGGUAUGGAGUGAAGGAAGGAUUCCUGGAAGGUGUGCAAUUGGAAUCUGACUUUGAAGAUUAACACCCCAGAGAACGUUUUAUCAAGAAAUCCAAACUGAGACACAGUCUCUCCCUCCCUCUAUACAGACUGGUGAGGU